GGGGCUGGUCAGAGCGGAGACAACAAACAAGAACGUUGUCCGAACAACAGAAAGGACCAAACACGUCCCCGUACCCUGGCUAGCGGGAGUAACUGCUGCGGGACCGACCGGCAGCUUUGGCUUCGCUCUGGUAUUCCUUUCUCCUGGCUGGCGUCGAGGCCCCUUGACCGCCGGAACUUCAGGCCAGCGGAGGAGCCUUCCCACUUCGGAAGAUCUCCACACGCAGUCUCCCUUGGAUUCAGCUGCCUCUGCCUUUUGUAACUCCCGUUACCUGUAUGAGCCCUAGGUAGGGACAUCUCUAUGCCCCCGUCCAGCAGGAAGAAGUCACAGAAGAGGAGACCUUCCGCCCUCAAAACUGUAAAGAUUUAUUGGGUCAAAACUGUUCACGGGGGGGGGGGGGGGGGGGGGGAUGAUGUGGGAAACAAAGGCAGAAGAAGAAUUAUUAAAGUUCCCUGCUACCUACAGCCCGUUGGCAAGUCCUGGAAACAGGCAGAGUGACUUUCCCCUAGGGACU